CCCUUAGACGUUCUGGGCCGCACGCGCGCUACACUGACCAGUGCAACAAGCAUCCGUCCUUGGCCGAAAGGUCUGGGUAAUCUCCAAAUUUCGUCGUGAUGGGGAUAGAUUAUUGCAAUUAUUAAUCUUCAACGAGGAAUGCCUAGUAAGCGCAAGUCAUCAGCUUGCGUUGAUUACGUCCCUGCCCUUUGUACACACCGCCCGUCGCUCCUACCGAUUGAAUGGUCCGGUGAAGCGUUCGGACCGUGGCCUUUGGACGGUUCGCCGUCUGUUGGCUGCGGGAAGUUCGUUAAACCUUAUCAUUUAGAGGAAGGAGAAGUCGUAACA
rnacentral:rRNA from 1 species